rnacentral:lncRNA from 1 species
ACCCACAAGUCCAACCGAAGUUUCAAACCAUAGCAACCCACGACGCAUACGCAAUGGAGGGCCGUGAGAACUCACCAACCUCUCCAACCAUCGUGCCUCUACGUCGAGGGUGGUGUGCCGAAGGCUCCAUGAUCCGGUGACAUACGAGGCGGGUUACUAGAACCCGCCGUCGACUGAGGCUGCACAAACAGUUAGAUGCUUAUGUGAGAUUGUAGUAAUUAUUCUACGACUAUAGUUACAAGCAACAAGUUAACUUUGACACUUACAGGAGAACUAAACAAUGGCGACAGCGGCGCAGGAGCUGACAUCGUCACGUCCACACCGGUCUUCUGCCCUAGAGCUUCUAGGACCCUCAUCAUCUCUUGCAGCCUAUGGUCUUGGGCCUCCCACGCGAGACGCUUAGCCUCUAGCCGAGCAGUGAGGGUCGUGAUCUGCUCCGUCUUCUAGGCGUUGUUGGCCUGCAAUAUUGCACUCCAAUGUUUCAGUAAUGCAAAUGUAGUUCAGUUGCAAGAAUAUUAAUUUACCAUGAGUGAAACAAGAAUUACAUGGAGCGUAGCUAACAUGCUCACUGUCGGAGUCGGCCGUGAGCGGAUGGGCUGGCUGGAGGAUGUGCUCUGCGCUCUGAGCUGACUGAGAGUAGGGGUGUUGUUGGGGUCGACGGUGGCGUUCGUGAUCCACGUCCGGCCGUGCUUCCUGCCGCCACCGAGCCUCAUGAUGACCCUCUUUUUAAACCUUACUGGUUAUGCAAGAACUAAAAGGGCUCACAAUAACCAUUCAAAAACAACAUUGCAUCAACAAAGAUCCAAAAAAGUUAUCACAAGCAAGAUAUAAUAGUGAAAUAAAGGUGUUUAGCUUACAAUCAACCAUCACACAUAAGUAGUUCUUGUUCACCACACAUAGUUCACCACACAGAAAGGUUUAAAAAGACCAUCAUAACUAACUUAUUACAUCAAAGAUACGCCUAACACUCCCCCUUUGGCAGCAAGUGCCAAAAAGGGUAGGCCGCGAGAAGGAGCUAGAUAGACUACUCGUCAUCAUCAUCAAGGUC